UACGUAGGGGGCAAGCGUUGUCCGGAAUCAUUGGGCGUAAAGAGCGUGUAGGCGGUCCGGUAAGUCGGCUGUGAAAGUCCAGGGCUCAACCCUGGGAUGCCGGUCGAUACUGCCGGACUAGAGUUCGGAAGAGGCGAGUGGAAUUCCCGGUGUAGCGGUGAAAUGCGCAGAUAUCGGGAGGAACACCUAUGGCGAAGGCAGCUCGCUGGGACGUUACUGACGCUGAGGCGCGAAAGCCAGGGGAGCAAACGGG
rnacentral:rRNA from 1 species